rnacentral:rRNA from 1 species
GAUGAACGCUGGCGGCGUGCCUAAUACAUGCAAGUCGAGCGAACAGACGAGGAGCUUGCUCCUCUCACGUUAGCGGCGGACGGGUGAGUAACACGUGUAUAACCUACCUAUAAGACUGGGAUAACUUCGGGAAACCGGAGCUAAUACCGGAUAAUAUAUUGAACCGCAUGGUUCAAUAGUGAAAGACGGUUUUGCUGUCACUUAUAGAUGGAUCCGCGCCGCAUUAGCUAGUUGGUAAGGUAACGGCUUACCAAGGCAACGAUGCGUAGCCGACCUGAGAGGGUGAUCGGCCACACUGGAACUGAGACAGGGUCCAGACUCCUACGGGAGGCAGCAGUAGGGAAUCUUCCGCAGUGGGGGAAAGCCUGACGGAGCAACGCGGCGUGAGUGAUGACGGUCUUCGGAUCGUAAAACUCUGUUAUUAGGGAAGAACAAAUGUGUAAGUAAAUAUGCACGUAUUGACGGUAACUAAUCAGAAAGCCACGGCUAACUACGUG